CACUGCCCGGUGGUCAACAGGCAGCUCAUGCGCAGAGGGACCCCUGAACAUCGCAGAGGAGCCCCGGAUACCGCUCCGCAUCGCCGUCAGAUGAUUCUGUCCCCGGCCUGCUCAGUUGUUCCAGUUCUUCCCUGAGAAAGAGAGAGAGAGAGAAUGAGAGAGAGAGAAAGAGGGAGAGGAGGUGCCUGUGUCACAAUAAAAGUCCUUUCUGCCUGUGUAACCCUGCCUCAAGCCUGUCAUUCCCAGUGACUCAGGAAGGAGACAGAGGUAAAGCCAGACUGCAGGGAAUGAGAACACAAGGAGAUAGGUGAACUACAUCGAUAAUAUUCCCGCUGUCCUGUCCAUCGGUGUAUAAAGUAUCAGCACGGAUGUCCCUAUGGUAACUGGAGCGACGACGGGGAGGAGCGCCCUGCAAGAGCUGCAGUCUGAUGACGUCAUCCUUUCCCCGCCGGCGUGACCGAGCCACGGGCAGCGUUCACAUGUAUGGUGAAGGUAUAAAGCAACUUUACAGCGUGUACCACGUGCACCGGAGGGCGCCAUCUGAUGACGUCACGGUUCCCGAAUGGCUGUACGCGUUACUGUGUCCGGCAGGGAGCUCCGUCAGGCGUAUAUAUAUAUAUGGAAAAAAUAGAUGCGGGGGCGCUCAGGUACUGUAAUGCACUACCAGUGCACCUGAUAAAAAAUAAGAAUGUUUUCAAACAUAAAAAUAAAAAUUGACACUCCUCUAAAAUGAGUGGCUGCAUCUUAACCACUUAACUGGCAUUGUCAGAUCACAUGUGACCGCACC